rnacentral:misc_RNA from 1 species
GAUGCUGGAUCCUGGUUUAUGCAGGCCAUUGUUUGGAUUUUCAAAUUUGAAUCACAUGUUAAGGAUCUUGUUGAAAUGCUUGGGAAGGUUAAUAAUGUUGUAAGUAAAGGCAAGGCGAGAGAUGUUGGAAGCCAUUUUGUCACCGUCUCUAAGUACGAAUCAUCUCUCAGGAAAAAACUCUUCUUUUUUCCUGGAAUCUAUGGAGACAAAAGAGUACACCCAAAGUGUAUAUAGACACAGAAAGAUUCAUCAUUGGAACGCGAAAGAAACUAAAUGUUUCAUGGGAAAUAGACAUGUACGUGUAUUGAAAUAGCACAUCUACCUUCAUAACCUUAUACUUUUUUCAGAGAAAUCAGUAACUAUAAGUGAUAUAUAUUGAAACAGAUUCGUACCCUAAAAUAUAUAUGCAUAUACAUGUAUAUGUAAACCCUCUUUUUAUUUUUACUCAUUUAAACCCAGUCAAAAUAAUGUUGCAAGUAGCAAGGUGUUCCUAGGAUAAUAUAUGUACAAUGAAGUCAAAAUUAUCUUCUCAUUAACCCCUAAUUGACUGAAGUAUUAUAGAAAAUCAGUUUCAAUGUGGGAUGACUCUCACACUUCACUCUGACAUUUUCUUUUUUGUCAUUUUUAACAUGAAACUAAGCCAUAUAGAAGAAUGUGCUCUACAUGUAGAUACAUCAGGAACAAAUGAUGUCGUGAUUUGUUUCUCUAGGUACUUCUGCUCAUGGUACUGUAACAGUUAUGCUUUUUCUAACAACCCUAUUGUUAGUUGCCUUCGUACAUAGAUCUGGAAACGUCCCUCAUUAUCCAAAUCAUCUUAAUUUGUACAUCUAAAUAAUUUCCCAAUAUCUUUACUUCUUUCAUUCACUUAAUCAACGUCCAGUUGUAUUUUCUGACUAUUGUACAAAUCAAUAUAAGAUAUGGUUUUUAGUUAAAAAUUACAACACAAAAUCCUAAGUAUUCAUUUUUUUCAGCUGUAGUUUUUUUUAACUACCAUUUUUGAUUUCUUUUAUUGCACAUGCAUGUAGUUAUACUAAUUGCGUGUUUGUAGUAAUCAAUUGUAAUGAAAUAGAAUAAGUUACCCGUGUAAAACACGUUUAUGAUUGUAACCAAUAUAAUGAUUUGCUUGUUACUGAUCAUCUGAAGUAUGUGACGGAAAGUUCUAAGUUACAGUGAAUUUUUGUGCCCUUUGAAUUGUUUUAAAUUGUGUUUACAUGAAUGAAUAAAGGAAGCAUUAAU